GUGCAUCUCUUGAUAUUUGUACUUUAAAAAAAAAAAACUUAUAUUAAAUGGCUUUUAUAUUUGGUUUGGACUCUUUUCUAAUUAACAAAACCAAAAUUUCUCAAAACCCAGCGUAGCAAAUAAUUUGAUUUUUUAAAAUAAUAAAAUGAAUUUUAUUUAGUAAAUGCCAUGGAAAUAUCAAAAUUAAAAAACCUAUUUUAAAAUUUUGAAUUAAAAACUUGAAUACUAAAAUCUACAUAACGAUAUAAAAACAAAUUGAAUAUUUGAAAUUUCUAACGACUAAUGCAGAUACAAAAUCCGGUUAAUUUCAUAUCAUAUUGCAAAAAUCAAGUUUCUUAAAAUCCGUAAUAUUAAAAAAAAAAAAAACUUCAAAACCCAAAUUUGAUUUUAAGUAUAAUAUUUGAAAAUCUGCUAAAAUUUUUUGAAUGAAAAUAAAAUAAAAUGGGAUAGGAUUAACAGUUCGUAUGGGCUGAAAAUUCUGUUCCUUUUGUUGGGCUUUGUUGUGCAAAAGGGCUUUGAUGAUGUCAUCAAUCCAACGCCGCCAGGCGCCACCUCUCUGUAAAUGCAAAAGCCACACUCUUCACCGGAAACGCAAAAGCCACCUCCUCAAUCUCUCUCUCUCUCUCUCUCUAUCGCCAAUUGAUUGCUGGUCCUUAUCGGAGAGAAGCUCCAACAUCAUGACUCCGAGGCCUGAAAUUCCGGCAACAUGUAGUUCGUCUCUAACCUAAUCGAUAUUUUUUAUUCUGUCACUCUCUCUCUCUCUAGCCAUCUCCGUCGUCGUUCUCAGGAUACAUCUUGGUCGAAGAAGAGUCAACAUUAACUUCCAUCGCUCAAUUUGUCGAAGAGCAACGACAAAGCAACAAAUCAAAACGUCGAACAAUUUGGAGCCAAAGAUGGAUCAACAACUCAUGAAAUUCGA
rnacentral:lncRNA from 1 species